AGGGGGAAGGGGUACAGAUCAACCCUACGGGCCCUGCAAUGGAUUCCCCACACAGGUGUCGUACACAUCCGAGGUACGGACACCAUCAGUUCAGCGGUUCACAUUUUUUUUUUGAUAUUUAAGUAAAAGGUGCUCUGUGGGCCCAAAUGGCUAUUUACUCAGGGUACAGCUUCUCUUCUUGUGUCUGAAGCUUGUCAACGAGGCUGCGCAUUUAUCCAUCCUCUCGUGAUCCUACACAAACAGGGAACAAAACCACGAAGGAAAAGCAGUCUAGAUAUCAUCUGUAUUUACACAUGGUUUUUCCUUGGGCGUAAUUGGACAAGAGAACAGUUUAUAAUCUGCGUGGCAUCACUAUUCCUGGUCUUGUUGUUCGUUGCUAUGACCCAUCAACGAAAAUGUGGAUGGUUGUAAAAUUCUCAGGUACCUGUUUUUUACUGCAAAAAUGAGGCACAUCGUCCUUUAAAAACUAGGGCUGGACACGAUUAUGAGGCUACUGUGAUCUUCUUUUCUUUUUAAGAUUUCAUUUAUUUAUUUGAGAGCGAGUGCACAUGAGCAGGAGCAGAGGGAGAUGGAGAAGCAGGGUCCCCGCUGAGCCUGAUGCGGGACUCCAUCCCAGGACCCGGGGCUCAUGACCUGAGCCGAAGGCCAAUGCUUCACCGACAGAGCCGCCCAGGCACCCACUACUAUGACCUUUAUUUAUACUUUGGAACCUUUUAAGUCAAUAUGCCUGUCCAUUAUUUUAUUUAGUUUCUAUAAUUAAAUGUUGCUGUAUUUUUCUGUCAUUAUUAUAUUUAAAUCAUAACAGCAUACGGUAGCCUUUUUUUUUUUUUUUUUUAACUUUUUUGCUGUGCUGCUGUGUUCUUGGUCUUGGCUUCUGUUCCAGUCUUUGGACAUUUUUCCUCGGGUUCAGUGAAGAAACAUUCAACUUAGACCGUCCGUCUCCACCUCCCAUUUUUAUUACCUUAGAAGGGCACCUGCUCCUCUCUGUGCUUUCUCUCUGCUCGCGUGGUUUGCUCCAUGUCCCUCAGGUGACUGUGUGCCGCUCGACCUGACAGUCUAACGGGGUUCGAGGUGAGUUGUGGCUACCCCACCUGCCGGGUGCGUCCUUCCCUGGCCUGGCUGCGCGGUCCCUGUCCCAGCCUCUCCCCCGGCCUCGGUCCCACUACGCCCUCCCUUGCACCUCUCGCCUUCUUGCUACCUGUCCCCUGGCUCCGUUGGGAAUUCACCCUCGGUGGCGUCAUGCUCUCACCAAUUUUUACAAUUCU
rnacentral:lncRNA from 1 species